GAGUUUGAUCAUGGCCAGGAUGAACGCUAGCGGCAGGCUUAACACAUGCAAGUCGAGGGGUAUAGCACUUCGGUGCUAGAGACCGGCGCACGGGUGCGUAACGCGUAUGCAAUCUGCCUUUCACAGAGGGAUAGCCCAGAGAAAUUUGGAUUAAUACCUCAUAGUAUUAUGGAGUGGCAUCACUUUAUAAUUAAAGUCACAACGGUGAAAGAUGAGCAUGCGUCCCAUUAGCUAGUUGGUAAGGUAACGGCUUACCAAGGCUACGAUGGGUAGGGGUCCUGAGAGGGAGAUCCCCCACACUGGUACUGAGACACGGACCAGACUCCUACGGGAGGCAGCAGUGAGGAAUAUUGGUCAAUGGGCGCAAGCCUGAACCAGCCAUGCCGCGUGCAGGAUGACGGUCCUAUGGAUUGUAAACUGCUUUUGUACGAGAAGAAACACUCCAACGUGUUGGAGCUUGACGGUAUCGUAAGAAUAAGGAUCGGCUAACUCCGUGCCAGCAGCGCGGUAA
rnacentral:rRNA from 1 species